AUGUGUCUUUUUGAAUUAUGGGGUUUUUUUCUGGGUAUAUAUACUUCCUAACAGGAUUGCUGGAUUAUAGCAAUUUUUAACCGUACCUUGAAGUCCACGGAUGGAUGUCCCACCAGAACUGGCCUAGGCCACGCUAGAGGACAGAGACAACCCCAAGGCUAUCCCGGCCGCUCUUUUUCGGCACGGGGCCCCUCGCCUCUCCUCCCCGCCUGUCCGCGGUGUGUGGAAGGCAAGGAUGCUUGCGUGGAGCCAAAUCUUCUCGUCUCCCGACCCCGAUCCUCCCCCGGGUUCCUCGGAUACAGCGGACAGCCUCGCGAGGCCUAGUCAGCUUGCGUCUCGCGAGAAGUCCCCUGCCAAGUGGGCUUUGGGGCCAGGAGGUCGCCUUGGUGCGUGAGCACGUCCCGCCUGGCCCUGGGCGGUGACUGGGAGCGCUCUGUGUCGGUCCUGAGGGGCGUGAGGCCGAGUAGGGGCGUCGGCUCCGGUUCCCAGCAAGGAGCCCCUCAGGCCCCCGUGGCCAUGGUGCUUUCGCACUAACGUAGAUUUGGCUGGCAGAAGAGAGGGAAACCAAGAGUGUCUGCAUCACUUACUCCAGAGAAACACUGAGUACCGUCUGCCCUCAACCACCAUCACCACCACCCAGUGCAGCCCUUUCUGGACCACACCCUCACCCCACUUCUGUGAGCCCUCCCCCACCAGUCUUCGUCCAAGAACCUGAAAUCCCAAUGUUUCUCCAAAUACACGUUUGGAAAGUCACUUUCAAUGCAGCAGUUGGUAACACAGGAGAACUCUUAAUGUUGCACAGUAUUGUCUACUCUUGUCCAGUUCCAAAAAUUAUCUACUCUUCCAACCUUCAUUCUAAGACUAAAUGCAAUGCUGCGAUGCUUCUCUUAUAUAACAUGGGAGGAGAGGGGGUGGCCAGACCAUACAGUGUGGAAAACCAGUAAUUCCCACACCAAGGUCUACAAACUGGCUCAAGGUCAUAAAAGAACAGGAAAGCCCACUGAACUAGUAAUAGGAACUAGGUUGCAUGAGCAAAGACAAGUUUCUAAAACACCUACAAACCACAUGUGGUAUCGACAUUUGUGUCCAGCUGAUUUUUUAUGACCUUUCAGGAAAUGAACUGUCCCACUCUCAAAAACUAGAGGAACAGUAUUAAUAAGUCAAAACCAAAGCCAAAUCCAGUAGUGAUUAUAGUACUACAUUUGAUCUCUAUGGACUGUAAAGAAGAAUAUAAAAACAAGAGAGAAAAACUCAAGAGCUUUUCAUUAAAAACAAACACAAACCAUUUAUACAAAAGCAGUUUAAAUUUUAUUUAUAAAUUUGUUUAAAAGCAUAUAAAGGAUUUUUCUUUUGGUCACAUUUGUAGCCUGAAUUAA